GGCCCAAUGGUCUAGUAGUAUGAUACACGCUUCGGGUCUUGUCCCCACAGACUGUCGUCUGUUCAAAUGUGUGUGGUCCCGAGUUCAAUUCUCGGUUGGGCCC